rnacentral:lncRNA from 1 species
CGGUGUCGUUGAUCUCUCCUGUAAGAGGAGGUGGAGUAUUGCCUCCUUUCUGUCAGUUGAGAUAGAUGGUCACAGAGAUAGAUUAGGGAUGGAAAAGAAAAGAAAGAAAAAAGGACGAAUAGGUGUGUAGAUAACAUGUAUGAGAUUUAUAUAUUUAUGUAUAGGCAUGUAUGUAUGUAUAUGUUUAUAUGUAGAUGUAUAAAUAUGUAUGUGAGAUAUUUUGUACAGGUUGUGUGUGUGUUGUGUUGUGUGUGGCCGGCCACUGUCAUGUGGGGCCAACCCCCCACUAUCAUUGACAUGGAGGCCCCACACAACCCUCUGUUAAAU